CACGCGGCGGGUCGGCCUGCGCGGGCAGCGGGAGCAUCGGGGAGGUCCGCGGAGACCCCCGGGGCGCCCCGCACGCUGGCGGGGGCGUGGGGGACCCCGCGCGCCGCCCAGACUCCGGAUCCGGAUAAUGAAGGGAAAAGGGCUGAGAGCCGAACCCACGGCCUUGGGCGCGCCAGACGGGCGCCCUUCCGCUGGGCUAAACCCCCAUCCCCGAGCGCGGCCUCCGCUCGCGGCCUCUUAGAGCCAGAGCUGGGGGGCGGAGCCCGCGCGGGCCCCGCCCUCCGGAGCCGACCACCGCGAGCCGAGGACAGCCAGGCCGGGAGCUGCCGCCACCCAGCCAGCAAACACCAGCGAGAGAGCAGCCAGCCGCAACCGCAGCGCGCACCCACCGCCGAGCGACGGCAAACCGGGAGCAGCCACCGAGCACACCCACGACCAAGUAACCGCAAGCCAAUAACAGCAACAAACCGGGAGCAGCCACCGAGCACACCCACGACCAAGUAAUAGUAAAUAAGAGCAACAAACCGGGAGCUGAUUGUGAUUCUUUUCUUGUCAUUUCUGCCAAACAAGCUGUUGUUUAACUUUCUGUUAUUGUAAAGGUGACAGACAAUCAGGACUGCCGGCCACGCUCAUUACCCAUGGGUAUACAAACUUCAGCUUCUUUUGGCAGAGGAGGUUCAAGAAGAGAGGAAGAGACCUCUGGAAAAUGCUCCAUCUCAAGACAGCAGUGCAGAGGAAAAAGUUCAUAGAUAAGUAAACAGCUUCAAGUGACAAAAUGGCAGGAGGAAGGGUAACAGCUUCUGAGCAGCAUGGCCGAGGACAGCUGUGCGAAGGUGGCCCAGCGGACUUCUUUCAUGUUAUUUGGAGAAUGUGUGCUCAACAAGCAUAAGUAACUUUUGUAAGCAUUAAAACAGAGGCAAAGCAAAAACCCCUAGUUAUUUGGGAAGUAGAGAUCAAGAGAAUCAAGAUUCCAGGUCAGCCCAGCCAAAAGUUCACAAGACCCAUCCCGACCCAUAAAGCUGUCUGUGACAGUGCACACCUAUCAACCCACUGAAGUGGGAAGCGUAGAUAGGAGUGGGUCCAAGCCGGCCUCAGCAAGAAGUGAGACCCUAGCUCAAAAAUAACCAGUGGAAAAAGGGCUGGAGGUGUGGCUUGAGCAAUAGAGCACCCACCUAGCAAGCGCAAAGCCCUGAGUUUAAACCCCAACGUUUGUAGUUCAGACAGGCACUCAAUUAGAUAUUAUAUGCCACAGAAACAACAGUACAGACUGGCCCUUAGCCCGCAGUGUUGUUCUGCAGAGACACCUGCACACCUGGGAUUUAUCCCUAACCGUGUUGUCUCCACUCAAGACGAAGACCUUGAAUUUUCCACGUUUUAUUUACAAAUUGCUGUGUUUUCCAACAAGGGCCAGACUUUAAAAAUUAAGCCUUAAAGAGAGAAGGGGAUAGGGGCACUGGGGAUGUGGCUCAGUGGUAGAGCUUUUUGCCUAGCAGGCUUGAGGGCCUGGGUUCAAAUCCCAGCACCCCCAAGAAGGAGGGGGAAAGACAAUUUCUAAUCUGAUAUUUGUUUUGGUAAGCAGGAAAAUUCAAAACCUUUCCUCAGUAUGUCAGUGUUUGAGAAAAUAAUCACGGCAUCUGCCAAGUCUUGCAUCGGAAAGUGGUAGAUUUGUAGCCCAGGACAAUUCGUUUACACACAGGAUGAAAAUGAUCCAAAAAGGUUCUUGAAACCAAAGGCCUUUCUAAGCCUCAGUUUUUACUGUCUGAAAAUUGUCUGGACUGCCUUUAUUUGAGUGGUUUCAGAGCAUUGCCACUGGUUGGGGCUGUAGCUCAGUGGCAGAGCAUUUGUCUGCCAUGUAUGAGGUCCCCGGUUCUAUUCCUAGUCCUGCAGAAAAGAAAGUUAUCAUUAUUUAUGUUUUAGCCAAAGACAUAAAGGGGAUGUUAGCAUUAACUCUGACACCCUACCCACAAAGACAAGACAUAGUUUUUAAAUAGGAGAAUGUUUCCUCUAUUUUUACUCAAGUUCACACACCCAAAGAAUAAAAUACAAGAGAAAAGUAAACCCAUCCAAGUUUGAUAUUGAAGCACUCCUAGCAGCAAAGGAUGGUUUUUCUUAACUUAUUUCAUUUAAAUCUGCAGCAAAAACACCAGGUGGCUAGCACACCCAGCUGGCCCCUGUACAUCUAGACGGUUAACCUAUAACGACAUGCAUUUUAGAAAGAAAAGCAAGCUAAAUAGCAGUAACAAAGACCAAAAAUGUGUCGUUGACUCCUAUUAUUGCUUUAAUCAUCUUUAAAUAGUUGUAGGAAAAAAGAGUUACAAUUUAAUACAUGAGUCAGCUUUUACUUUUUGGUUCAAGAAAUACAUCCAGAAACUUCUCUCCCCAGCCCUGUCUGUCUGCAUAGAAACAACUAGAAAAGCAAGAGCCCUGAGCUCCCUGGGGUCAGUUUUAGGAGAUGAGGUUUUCUUCCUUCACGUUUCCUAUGCUUGUCUUCUCAGUCUUGUGACUUGAGCUGUGCUGUGAUAUGAAGUGAGGAUGUGUUUCACAGUCUGGGAGAUUACAAAGAAGUUGUUUUAGCUGGGCUGGUGGGCCUGUGAUUCUAACUAGUCAGGAGGCUGAGAUCUGAGGAUCAGGGUUCAAAGCCAGCUUAGGCAGGAAAGUCAUG